CCUACGGGAGGCUGCAGUGGGGAAUAUUGGACAAUGGGGGGAACCCUGAUCCAGCAACGCCGCGUGAGGGAAGAAGGUUUUCGGUAUGUAAACCUCUAUCAUCAGGGAAGAAGAAAAUGACGGUACCGGACGAAGAAGCCACGGCUAACUACGUGCCAGCAGCCGCGGUAAUACGUAGGGGGCAAGCGUUAUCCGGAUUUACUGGGUGUAAAGGGCGAGUAGGCGGGGAUGCAAGUCAGAAGUGAAAACCAGGGGCUCAACCCAUGGAGUGCUUUUGAAACUGCAGUGCUGGAGUGAAGGAGAGGUAAGCGGAAUUCCCGGUGUAGCGGUGGAAUGCGUAGAUAUCGGGAGGAACACCAGUGGCGAAGGCGGCCUACUGGACUUUAACUGACGCUGAGGCUCGAAAGCGUGGGGAGCAAACAGGAUUAGAUACCCUAGUAGUC
rnacentral:rRNA from 1 species